CAUAUUCAAAUAAAAUUUGCGCAAAGCAACGGUUUUUUUUUACAAUAAAAAUAUAGGGGAGACAAUAUUUACUUUUUCUAAUUGCCAUACAACAGUUUUCCUUAAGCGUUUUGCGCAAUCUUUCGUAGCGUCGGGGAAGAAUAUUUGCAAAUGAGAUAAAAUAAUAAUAAAAAAAUUGUCAAAAUUUUGCGUGCGGGUUGAAGAGAAGUAAAUUAAAAUAAAGUAACUGUGCAAAAUAUGUGAUAAUACAAAAACAAAACGUGUAGAGCGCUGCUAACAGGAGACGAGAGGUGCUUUGCUGGUGUGAAAAUCUAUGAAAAAAAUCGUUACAUUUCCCCUAAAUGGUGCUAACUAUUAACUGCUACUUUGUUACUUCCAAUACUUUGUUCGCCUGCACCAACGUCACAACUGUGCAAACGAAGGCAAAAGGGUUCACUAGCUGACCACUAGCGCACUCCACUCCGAUUCAAAUGCAACAGUUAAAACUUGAAUAAAAAUAAUUAGUAAAUGUAAAUAAUAAAAAUAAGAAAUGUAUUGCCAUUAAUUUCAAUAUUAUUUGAAAUACGAAUUUCCAAUAAAACAACAUUAAACGCGUUAACAUAUGUCACUUUCGAAAAUAGCUGUUGGCUUUUCAGCGUUGACGCCUGAGCGUCCAGGCGCGAAGAGAGCCCAAUAGAGAGCACAGAACGUACGGCAGAAGAAAGCAGCAAGGCAGAGAGCUUUGUUGAUGCCAAAGUGAAUGCGAAAUACAUACAAACAUAUACAUACAUACAAUUACAAAUUAGAGAGGGGAGUAUUGUGAAGAAAUAAUAGUAAGAUCCAAAGACAAUCUCGCACGACAACGCAAGCCACCAAAGAAAAUACAAGAACAAGAAACACCCCACCAACACAAAAGGAAUAAUGCAAUAAACGAAAUUAAUAGUAUUGCCAGUAGGCAAAGGUAGCAGUAGUGAGCAACACAAACACACUCUCACACUAAGCAAACGCGCAUUAUACACCACCGAUUCGAAUUGAUACGGAGAAGCAACAAUAUGUUGAUAAGCAAAAGUUCCUAGGCAACUUGUUAAGCAAACACAAGUAUAAGUAUAGAACUAAUUCACACACACACACACACACACAAACACACACUAACAAGCGAAAUAAAUUUAACGUUCAUCUUAAAAAAAUAAAAAUCAAAUAACUAAAAGAGCCACCGGAGUGACAGCAUGCGAUACUUUGCAUCAUGUUGCGCCUCAAGUUGCCAAUGUGAACACUGUUGCAUGCGACAUGCACGAGUAAAGUGGCACAUGUGCUAGGCGAAGCAAAAACAAAUAAAAAAAUUACAACAAAAUUGAAAUUGUAAAAGCAAAAUACUAAGAAAAAAACAACGUAAACAAAUAAUAAACAACAAAACUAAAAAUUGCAUCAAUACAUGUGUUAACAAUAAUUAUUGUAUUGCAAAAAUUGCGGCAGCGUAGCAGAAGCUCCAUUAAUUAAAUAUAUGCAAGCCAAUGCAAGCAAAAAGAAUCAAUAAAGUAAGCCCUCCAAUAGUCGAACUAGUUAAAUUGAAAACCAAAAAAUAAAUAUUAAAAAAAAUUUAGAAAAUUACACAAAUAAAAUUACAAAUAAAAAUAAGCAUGAAAUAAGAGAGAAACAAAAAUACAACAAACAAAUCAAAUUAAUUGCAACAAAUUGCUGCGACAACUAAUUGCAAAAUAAACGCAGCAAACCGGCGAAAAAUGAUUUGGCAAAUGCAAUAAGGAAAUAAAUAACAAUAAACAGAACAAAGCAGAAAAAACUGCUACAACAAUCUAAAUUAAAGCACGUUCCAACUACAACUACAACAAAACAAAACAAAACAAAACGCACACGAUGUUGUGUUUAUAAACAAAUAUUAAUGGUUUUUAGCUGUGAUAUAACGUCUAGCGAUUAUUUGAAACGACUGAGCGGCGAAUGAAUUAAUGGAGAGAAAAAUUCAAAAAUUAGUGAUGGUGUGAAGAAAAGCUUUAGUUAUGGACACUGAGACUAAUCAAAAGAGGCAAAGAGCAGAAAGAAAAUAUGAAUAUGUAAAUAAUUAGUUCAUCUGAUAACCAUUGUGACAGUAAAGUAAAGUCGUCGGUACUAA
rnacentral:misc_RNA from 1 species